GUACUGAAGGACCUCAGCUUGCCGCUUCAUCUUUAUUUAUUUUUUUCCCCUUUUUUUAAACGGAUUGGCGGGGAGAGGACAUACAGAUAUGUAGCAUCUGUGUUUGCUAGUCAAAUAUCUGCAUACCUAUCUGUGGUGCCUCAAGAAGAGGAAAACAGGGACUUCCCUGGUGGUCCAAUGGCUAAGACACCUCGCUCCCGAUGCAGGGGCCCGGGGUUCCAUCCCUGGUCAGGGAACCAGAUCCCACGUGCUGCACCUGAGACCUGGUACAGCCAAGUAUUUCACGUCCACUGGGUUAUCUCCUUACCAUACCUGAAUUUUGAUGUGAUCAACAAUUCAGAAAGAAUCUAUAAAAUUAAUCUGAAGAUAUACAAAUGGCAA
ensembl:lncRNA